rnacentral:rRNA from 1 species
UACGGAGGGUGCAAGCGUUAUCCGGAUUUACUGGGUUUAAAGGGUGUGUAGGCGGUUCUUUAAGUUUGGUGUGAAAUCUCCCGGCUCAACCGGGAGGGUGCGCCGAAUACUGAGGGACUAGAGUAUGGGAUGGGAAAGUGGAAUUCCUGGUGUAGCGGUGAAAUGCGUAGAUAUCGGGAGGAACACCAGUGGCGAAGGCGGCUGCCUGGACCUCUGCUGACGCUGAGGCGCGAAAGCGUGGGGAGCGAUCCGG